rnacentral:tRNA from 1 species
UGACGAUUGGUAAGAAUCCACAACAAGUUGUUCUUCAUAGAUGUAUCUGAGGGUCUGUAGCUCAGUUGGUUAGAGCACACGCUUGAUAAGCGUGGGGUCACAAGUUCAAGUCUUGUCAGACCCACCAUGACUUUGACUGAUUAAGGUUAUAGACAGAAAGAUACAUAACUGAUGAUGUAAGCUGGGGACUUAGCUUAGUUGGUAGAGCGCCUGCUUUGCACGCAGGAGGUCAGGAGUUCGACUCUCCUAGUCUCCACCAGAACUUAAGAGAAGUUCGGAUUACAGAAAUUAGUAAAUAAAGAUUUAGAUCUUGGUUUAUUAACUUCUGUGAUUUAAGUAUCACGGUAUUAAGCAUGACCUGACGAAGGCAUGUUUAUUCAUUAACAGAUUGGCAAAAUUGAGUCUGAAAUAAAUUGUUCACUCAAUAAUGAAGAGAGAGGAAGUAAUUCUGAUCUUGGAAUUCAUUGAGAACUAGCAAAUUAACUGAAUCAAGCGUUUUGGUAUAUGAAUUAGAUUGAAGCUGUACAGUGUUUAAAUACACAGUACUUCAAACUGUAAGAGAUUGAUGAGGAAUCAUUGAUCAUGUCUUAUUACUCCUUGUAGGUAAUAACGACUGUUUGGGGUUGUAUAGUCAAGUAAUUAAGUGCAUGUGGUGGAUGCCUG